GUACCCUUGUUUCUCUUCAGAUCGUGUAAAUCUUUCGCCUUUAACUAAAUUUCCGUGGAGAGGAAUUUCAAGAGUGUUACACAAUUUAUUGAUGUCUUGCCUCACGGCGAGGU
rfam:Oryzias latipes DNA, chromosome7, strain: Hd-rR.